AAUAAGUGUUGUUUUGCACUAUUUAUGUCCAAUAUUUAACCAUUCGUCUUAUUUGAAUUUUUUAUGAUUAGUAUUUUUAUUGUUAUUGGAUGAUAAAACAUGAAUAGUACUUUAUGUGUGACUAUUUUUUUUAAUUUUAUAUAAAUUUUUUAAAUAAGACGGACGGUCAAAUAUUGGACAUGGAUAUCCAUGACUGUACUUAUU
rfam:Oryza rufipogon genomic scaffold, chr07